rnacentral:rRNA from 1 species
AGUAGGCUUGCUACUUGACCUAGCGGCGGACGGGUGAGUAAUGCUUAGGAAUCUGCCUAUUAGUGGGGGACAACAUCUCGAAAGGGAUGCUAAUACCGCAUACGUCCUACGGGAGAAAGCAGGGGACCUUCGGGCCUUGCGCUAAUAGAUGAGCCUAAGUCGGAUUAGCUAGUUGGUGGGGUAAAGGCCUACCAAGGCGACGAUCUGUAGCGGGUCUGAGAGGAUGAUCCGCCACACUGGGACUGAGACACGGCCCAGACUCCUACGGGAGGCAGCAGUGGGGAAUAUUGGACAGUGGGGGAACCCUGAUCCAGC